UUAUAAAUAUUUUGGCGUUUUAGCUUAUUUUAACACUUGUUUUUCUCAUUUUAAAUGAAUCAUGAAUAUUGAAUGCAAUCAAACCCCUGGUUAAGUGCCACUGGUAAAAAUAAAAAUGGUGCUAUACCAAAAAAAUACCAUGGUAAUAUACUAUAUAUCCACCAAAAUAUCAAUGCAAACUCGAAUUAUUGUUAGUAAAGCAUUGCAUUAUGUCUUUUCAAUGUGCAUCUGUGUUUUUUUCUUCUCCUGUUUAAUAGUGAAAAGGUGAACUUCAUGCAUCUGAUCAGUAAAGUAAAGUACUCAUUCAUGUCUGGAGCACAAAUGCUGAACUUUAAGACUCAGUGCUGGAGGUUUGAUCAGAAACAGUAACAGUAAAAGUGAUGCUUGACUUCUUAAACCCAACUAAUUAACCUAAAAAUACCACAUUUCCAAAUGAAACGUUGUGUUGUCACUGAACCCAGAGAGAGAGAGAGAGAUGGCCGUCUGUCUGGACGUUACAUAAGCUGUCAUUAUGUGCCAUUCUCGCCUCAGGGCCUCGGUUACAUCACUCUGAACUUUGCCGUGCUGCGCUCCUGUUAUUUCUGGAAGCCGUGUGAAAUCUGUUAAUCCCUGUUACCUGAACGAUGAACGGCAGCUUUGCUUUACAGAUCUGAGAGGGGGGGAAAAACCAGGGAAGUGGGGAAAGUAAACAAGAACAAAGACAUCCGUCUUCCCGUCAGACGCUCCGGGGAAAAGAGAGGAAAAAUGAGCACAGUUCAACAGAUGCACCACAGCUGGAAUCUCAAGUGACUCAUUGGCUGCGAAGCUCCAAAUUUCCAUGGCAACUGGAGAAUGUUUGGCAGCGGUGAGAUGCGAUGGAUGCGAGCUCGAAAACACACGAGAGAGAGAGAGAGAGAGAGAAGUGGGAGAAUCUGCGUGCUCGCGCUAGUUUGGCACACGUCCAGGGCAGCCAUAAUGCAGAGACAGAAAUGAGGCUCUUGGCGGGACACCAGGUCUCGGAGAACAAAGAUGUGUGUGCUUCUAAAGCCGGCAACUGAGGCUCGCUUGGCAGCGCACGCGUUUUCCCAUCAACCUUUGCCUUGGAAGCGCGCCACUCCAGUUUCAGGCCUGCAAAGAGGAUUAUGGUGAGAGCGAGAGAGAGCGAGACAGACUGACAUAAAAACACAGAGAGAUUCAAUCUGCAGCAACACAUCGUGCAAAACUCCUCCCCCGAAAUGCGCCUCUUUAAUAUGCAUUUAGAAUCUGUGGACUAAAAAGUAUUUUCAUAAUGUAAUAUUUUUUUAACCUAAAACCACAUUGUAUCUGAUCAGCAAGUGCAUUUUUUUUAAGUGACCAUGUUAUUACUGCAUUAAAUGUUUUUUUUUUAUUAUUCAUUUUUAAAUUGUUACAAAAUAUGUUUUUUUCAAUAUUGCUGAAAAAUCUCAUAAGAAUGUAUCAUUAAAUAUAUACAAAUUUUAAUUUUUAAUUUAUAACAUAUAAUCUGAGAAUUUUUAAUCCCAUCAAAAUCAAUGGAAUUCAGUUAAAUUCCUUUGAAUUUACAACUCAUGAUUGCUCAAAAACAGUCAAAAUUUAUGCAUCCUUAAUAUUUAUUUUGAACAAAAAAACAUUAAUAUUAUACUAAAAAUACAUUUACUUGCGUCCACUUUAAUUUUUAGAUGAAAAAGGGAUUAAUUUUUCAUGCUGCUUUUUCAAUCUAUGUAAACAUUUAUAUGUUAAAUCAACAAAAUUCAGUCCCAGGAUUGUGUGAGGAAAAGGCUAAAUAUAAACUGCUCAAAAAAAUAAAGGGAACACUUGUGGGUUACAUUGUGUUGUUAAGUGUUCCCUUUAUUUUUAUUUUUUUGAGCAGUUUAUUUUACAUUUGCUUUAGACACUAAAAUAUCUUCACAGAUAGUUUUACAAAAAGUGUUUUUGACACUAAUCAUACUCCAUACAUCCCCGGGUCAAAAAUGACCCGAACACAAAACAUAACUUAUUUUAUGGUUAGCAUCUCUUAAAAAAAAAUAAAAAAACUGAAAAUAAUAAUAAGUAAUGUGUGUUUUGAGGGUCUUAAAGUAUUAGCAAAGUAUUGCUCUCUUACUACAAAGUAUUAACUUUUUUUUUUAGAAAUCUACAUUUUAUGCUUAAAUUUGAUCUCAUCUUGGUCAAACUGAUUCGAAUGUGUCAUGAGGGUUAAGUCAAUGCAUUGGCAGCACCCCAGCAAGAGUUUUCAGUCCAGCACACUGAUAUUUAUGGGUUAUCACUAAACAUUAUAAUAUACGAUGACUAUCAGCAGGACAAAUGUGUGCGGCCGACAUUCUUCGCAUUGAUCUCCGUGAGACAUGCAGUUGUUUAUCUUUUCUUUGUUUCACCGCUGAUUACUCUAAGGACAUAUUUAUUUAUGUCCCGCUCAUCAAAAUGAUGCUGAGAUUUACUGCGUGCACACUCAGCAGCAGGUGCGCGGAAAUCUAUAUGCAUCAAAUCAAAGGCUUGUGCAUUUGGACAAGAACCAAACGUGGCGACCCUGUGUCUUUUCCUGUCAAACCGCCUGCGUAUUUCACUACAAGGGAGGUCUGCUCAUAUGAAAAGCGACCAAAACAUUGUAAACAGGAAGUGGUUAGUCACACUGGCUAUCCAGAUAAGACCGUGGUCUCCAUAGCUACGCCUUCCUGUGCAACGAGCCAACCAAUCAGAGACGAGACUCUCACUGGGCAAGAGGUAAUGUUCACAACAUUACCAGAGCAUGCAAUUACAUCACUGAUUAGUUUCAUUUCCGUGCACGCGCAUUCAGUGCACCAACUGGUUUUGAGAUUAGUCAUUUUGGUUAAUAGAAGUGCUCGGCUGGAUUAAGUUAUUCACAUUAAAUGCUAUUUGUAUAAUUCACAAUUCAGCAUGCAGCAAGCACCUUACCUGUCUCCGGGAAGAUUAAAUUGGGAAUGCUUAAUUGGAAAAUGUGCUAUUUAAAUAUUAAACGGCUUUAACACAAAGCUUUUUGUUUAAUUAUUAAAGGGAUGCAAUGUGUGUGAGAUUCGUCACAUUGCAUCAUGUCACAAUAAUGCAACUCUAACAUGGAACUAAAGUUAAUUAACUUUUUAUAAAGGUUAUAGAAAUGUUUGGACGAAACGUUCUUUUAUGGAAUGUUCUUUUAACUUAAUUAGUAUUUGAUCUGUCAAUUUUGGGAGAAAAUGUUCUUAGAAUACAAUUGUGUCAUUGUGUUGUUUGUACUUGUUCAACAUUCUAAGAAACGUGUUUUGCAAACGUUAUAAUCACGAUGAUCAUUUUCACAUUUCUGGAAUAUAAAAAAUAAAUAAUAAAAUAAUGUUAUAUUUUGUGUCAAAAAA